rnacentral:rRNA from 1 species
UACGGGGGGGGUAAGCGUUGUUCGGAAUUACUGGGCGUAAAGGGCUCGUAGGCGGCCAACUAAGUCAGACGUGAAAUCCCUCAGCUUAACUGGGGAACUGCGUCUGAUACUGGAUGGCUUGGAUUCGGGAGAGGAAUGCGGAAUUCCAGGUGUAGCGGUGAAAUGCGUAGAUAUCAGGAAGAACACCAAUGGCGAAAGCAGCUCUCUGGGACGGUACUGACGCUGAGACGCGAAAGCGUGGGGAGCAAACAGG